rnacentral:rRNA from 1 species
UUAGGAAAUUUUGCCAAUGGGGGAAACCCUGAGCGAGUAACGCCGCGUGAAGGACGAAGGCCUUCGGGUUGUAAACUUCUUUUUUGUGGGACGAUAGUGACGGUACCACAAGAAUAAGCCCCGGCUAACUACGUGCCAGCAGCCGCGGUAAUACGUAGGGGGCGAGCGUUGUCCGGAAUUACUGGGCGUAAAGAGCGCGUAGGCGGCGCUAUAAGUCUUGUGUGAAAGCCCCCGGCCCAACUGGGGAGAGUCGCGAGAAACUAUAGUGCUAGAGUGUCGGAGAGGGAAGUGGAAGUCCCGGAGUAGGGGUGAAAUCCGUAGAUACCGGGCCGAACACCAGUGGCGAAGGCGACUUCCUGGCCGACGACUGACGCUGAGGCGCGAAAGCGUGGGGAGCGAACGGGAUUAGAUACCCCCGUAGUCC